CGUGAGCGGCGGACGGGUGAGUAACGCGUGGGUAACCUACCUCAUACAGGGGGAUAACAGUUGGAAACGGCUGCUAAUACCGCAUAAGCGCACAGUACCGCAUGGUACCGUGUGAAAAACUCCGGUGGUAUGAGAUGGACCCGCGUCUGAUUAGCUAGUUGGUGGGGUAACGGCCUACCAAGGCGACGAUCAGUAGCCGACCUGAGAGGGUGACCGGCCACAUUGGGACUGAGACACGGCCCAA
rnacentral:rRNA from 1 species